AGUCCCCAGGAGAGGCUGGUGCAGGAAGGCUCAGACACUGUGUUCUCUGACAUAAUUUAUGUAAGUUAUAAUAGGGGGAGAGGCUCAGUCUGGGUUGUUCUGGAGUCUCAGCAUCUUGCACUUUAUUAUGAGAAAUUUUGCAAGCUUAUUACUUUGUAGUAAUAACUAUGUUCUGGCAGAGAAUGGAAGGGGAGAUGUGAUAAACAAAUGUAUGAAAUAUAUGCUACAGAAUUAGGGAGAGAGAAGGGCCAGGAUAGAAGGUAAAACAGGAAGAGGGAAGAAGACUAGAGGUGAGGAUGGGGUGGGGAGACCUGAUUUAGAUACAGAGGUUAGGGCAUCUGACUUAUAGCUAGAGGUCUGAUUGGAGGGAGUGAAUAUGAGUAUUUAGGCAGUAGAGCCAGGCGUGGUGGUGCACACCUGCAAUUUCAGUGCUUUUAGGAGGCUGAGGAUCGCUGGGGGCCAGGAGGUCAAGGCUGCAGUGAGCUGUGAAUGAACCACUGCACUCCAUCCUGGGUGACAGAGCAAUACCUUAUCUCUUAAAAAAAAAAAAAAAGCAUGUUUAGGCAGCAGGUGCGAAGGCCCUGAGGUCAGCAUGCUCUUGGUGUAUUUGCAGGCCGUGAGGAACCUUGACCACAAAGCAUGGUGAGGAAUGGGGUGGUGCUGGCACAUGAGGUGGGAGGAGAGGGCAGGGGCCAUGUCCAGUAGGAUCUGGGUGCUUGUGGUGAGGAGUGUGAUGUGAGGUCCUUGGCAAGGUUGGGCAGCAGCAGAAGAUAAUCUAACACUCUGUCUUUUGCGUGUAAAAUAACAUACAGAUACACAUGGAAGGGAAAGAUGGGUCAGGAGCUACCGUGAUGUGUCCAGGUGAGAGGUGAUGGUGGCCUGGACCAGGUGUGGAGGUGGGGGUGGAGAGACAUGGUUGGAUUCUGGAUGUUGACUUGCUGAUACGUGGGACCUGGGAUACCAAAGAGAGAGAAGGAAGAGUUGAGAAUGACUGCAAGACUUUUGGCCCGAAUAACUGGAUGGAGGAGAAAUAACAGAUGAGGAAGACUGUGGGAAGAGCAGAUUUGGGGGCUAUGGGCAUUUUGGGGGGCAGCGGGGGACUGAAUUGGGGAAUUUAGAGACAAGGAAAUGUGGUCCUGGGACAUCAUCACUGACAGUUGGGUAUUGCAGAGGGAGAAAGAGUGACUCAGAUAUGUCCCUGGAUGUCAGUUACAGACUUGUAUCAGUUUCCUGUUGGUGCUGUAACAAGUCACCACAAUCUUAGUGGCUUAAAACAAUAUAGAUUUGUUAUCUCACAACUCUGGAGAGGCAGGCAUCCAAAAUGGGACUCACUGGGCUAAAGUUAAGCUGUUGGCAGGGUUGGGCUCCUUCUGAAGGCUCCAGGGAGGGUCUGUGGCCUCAGCUUUUCUGGCUUCUAGACGCUGCCUGAAUUCCUUGGCUCUCCUUCCAUCUCCAAGGCCAGCAAUGCAGGUGGAGUGCUUCUCACUCAGACUUGGACCAUCUUGCCUCCCCUCUCCAUUGUAAAGAUCUCGUGAUCACAGUGGGCCCACCUGGAUAGUCCAGGAUUCUCUCCCCAUCUCAGGAUCUUUAUCUUAACCACAUCUACAAAGUCUCUUUGCCACGUAAGGUGACACAUUCAGGGGGUCUGGGGAUCAGGAAGUGAACAUCUUUGGGGACAUUAUUCUGUCUACCACACAGAUAAACCUGUUUCUUCAUGCUGCUCCCUAGGAUGAGGUAGGAGUGCAGCUGUGCGGUCUCCUAUUCAUCUCAGACCUCUAAAGCACCUUAGGGAGGAAGAUCUCACUGCAGUAGGCUGAUAACCCAGUGUAACAAAAACCUGUUUAAUUACAGAAUAACACUGUCUUUAGUAGAGAACAAAAGGGACAUUAUUGAAAAAUCCCUUGACUAACCUGUACCUUUUGGAGCUACACAUCAUGAGGCUUUUUACAAAAUGCCUCAUAAAAUUACCUAUGAAUUAAAUUGAGAUCUAUCUGGGAGAAGGCUGUAAAUUUCCCUCAAACAAGCAGCUAUCUCUUUCAGCUGAAACUUGUCUUUCUAGGUUGCCCCAGUCCCCACCACUC
rnacentral:lncRNA from 1 species